AACGAACGCUGGCGGCAUGCAUAACUCAUGCAAGUCGAACGAACCCUUCGGGGUUAGUGGCGCACGGGUGCGUAACGCGUGGGAAUCUGCCCUUUGCUUCGGAAUAACAGUUAGAAAUGACUGCUAAUACCGGAUGAUGUCUUCGGACCAAAGAUUUAUCGGCAAAGGAUGGGCCCGCGUAGGAUUAGGUAGUUGGUGGGGUAAAGGCCUACCAAGCAGACGAUCCUUAGCUGGUCUGAGAGGAUGAUCAGCCACACUGGGACUGAGACACGGCCCAGACUCCUACGGGAGGCAGCAGUGGGGAAUAUUGGACAAUGGACGCAAGUCUGAUCCAGCAAUGCCGCGUGAGUGAUGAAGGCCUUAGGGUUGUAAAGCCCUUUUACCAGGGAUGAUAAUGACAGUACCUGGAGAAUAAGCUCCGGCUAACUCCGUGCCAGCCGCCGCGGUAAAAC
rnacentral:rRNA from 1 species